rnacentral:rRNA from 1 species
UCUCAAAAGGUACCUUCCACACGGUCUCAAAAGGUACCUUCCACUUCGGUGUCCAGUCGUAGUAAUGGGAUAAGUACACUCAUGUUCUAGUUAUAUGUCGUUAUUAAACAUUACGUAGUCUGAGGUCUUAUUCUGACUUCAAGAAGUCACGGUUGCGGCGAAGCCGAAUCGGAUUUUGUAUAAUGUCACUGCAAGAUACUUGGUAUUUUGGUUUCGAGUAUAAUGAAGGUCACAGGUACCUUCCUAUAGUUCUUAACACCAGGUCACUGCUGAUUCUGAGCCAAUGGUAAUAAACAACUUCUUCCAAGUUCGAGACGAUCCCGGACUUGUGUCUCAUCUUUAAUUCCGUUACCUGUCUCUCUUCCUUAGUUGCCCACUAAACGAGUAUGGUCACCUCCGUAUCUUAAGAAGAGUUUUAAAUAGCGUCGUGAACACCAGUCACCGCUCCUACUUGUGGGUGUGGGCGAGGAACAACAGCCGGAGACGCAGGAGGAGGGAGUUACGCCCAGAUACGCUCCUUAACUAGAUAUUUUACGAUGACAAUCUAUAUUGUUUAUCCACUGUUCUUUAUUUGUCCUUGAAAAGUAAAAGAAACAAACCGCCUGUCACAACCUCAGAUAUAUAAUAAACAAAAGUUGAAGAGUAAAAGAAUGAUUAAAGAUAGUAAUCUGAGUGAAAGU